GAUGAACGCUGGCGGCGUGCUUAACACAUGCAAGUCGAACGAAGCAUUUAGAACAGAUUACUUCGGUUUGAAGUUCUUUAUGACUGAGUGGCGGACGGGUGAGUAACGCGUGGGUAACCUGCCUUGUACUGGGGGAUAGCAGCUGGAAACGGCAGGUAAUACCGCAUAAGCGCACAAUGUUGCAUGACGUGGUGUGAAAAACUCCGGUGGUAUAAGAUGGACCCGCGUCUGAUUAGCUAGUUGGUGAGAUAACAGCCCACCAAGGCGAUGAUCAGUAGCCGACCUGAGAGGGUGACCGGCCACAUUGGGACUGAGACACGGCCCAGACUCCUACGGGAGGCAGCAGUGGGGAAUAUUGCACAAUGGAGGAAACUCUGAUGCAGCGACGCCGCGUGAGUGAAGAAGUAAUUCGUUAUGUAAAGCUCUAUCAGCAGGGAAGAUAGUGACGGUACCUGACUAAGAAGCUCCGGCUAAAUACGUGCCAGCCGCCGCGGUAAUAC
rnacentral:rRNA from 1 species